AUGUGGUUUACAAGACAGGAGAUGACAAAGCCUGAGAAUAGAAAAGUUUUGCAUUUUCUUCACUCAAGUUGUAUUCCCACGGAAUGGCAGGCCAUGACUUUCCUCACAUGUUGCCUUUAUAAUGUAAACAAUGGAAAAGCAAACCCUGAGGUAGCUUUAUCAUUAGAAGAUAUAGGGGAGGAAUUGACCAAUUUCUAUAGACUUGGAACCCCCCCUCAAAAAAAAAAAAAAAAAAACAACUGAGGAUGUGUUUUGUGGCAUAUAAAGAAAGCUAAAAUUUCUUUUAAUGGUCAUAUAGAACCCUCUCCUAAAAUAAGUGUCCUUAUUUGAAAAGGUAAAGCAUAAUUUGCUUUUCCCUCUUAGAAAUUAUUUUUAUUUAUUUAUUCAAGAGACAGGCAAAUAGAGAGAAAGAGAGAGACUGCUCCUCUCUGCUAGUUUGCUCCCUGAAAAGGAGCAAAUGUCUGGAGAACAAAGCUGGGAGCCAGGAACUCAAUCCAGAUUGCCCACUGGGUGACAGGAGCCCGACUGUUCCAUCCUCACCACGGCCUUCCUGGUCUGCAUUAGCAGGAAGCCACACUGAGCAGACAGAGCAGGUAUGGAACCCAGGUGCUCUAAUAGGGGAUGCAGGCCAAAUGAUUUCUCAGAGAAUUUUUUCUCUGUUGGGUUACUUUUCACAGGUGCAUGUAGGACCUGCCAUUAAGAAUGGAAUAGCAAUCGUUUACUGAUACUGCAAUCUGCCCUCCGGAGCACCUUUUGUUAGUAGACAGAGAAGGAUGCUACUGGGGUGGUUUUGUUGAGGAGAUCCUGGGAAGAUUUUGCUCCAGGUAACAAUGCUGCUGCGUCACUGAUGCCUUAAACUCCAGAGCUGGAAAUAUUCCAUUCAGCAAACCACAGACGAACAGCACAUGCUGCACACUGGGAAUCAAAUGGUACUUUUCCUCUCUCCUUAGCAACCACCAAGAUCAGAAAGGAUUCGCUCACUGAUGGCCCGCAGGAGAGAGCUGGAUUCUCAGACUGCAAAGUUUUGGUGGGGAUGACACAUGCGAUUACUGUUUCUAAUGAGCAAGUCAGUGGUUGUUCUGACAAAACUGAACAGUUAUCUUGUGGGGGCUCAUGAAGGGGUCUGCCAUAGUGUGUCACAAGAGAUUGGUUCUGUUAGUCUCCCGUUGUAGUCUAAUCCAUAGUACAGUUUUUAAUUAAAAAAAAAAGUUAGGCCUUCUCCAAAGCAUUAAAUAACUUUGAUGACAGUUUUCCAGAUAGAAUCCUGUUAUUCUCUGGUUCUCUAAAAUCACCAUGAUUAAAUCAGUCAGAGGCUAGGUACGUGGGUAUAUACUGUCUUCCAUAAAAAAAAAGAAAAUCUCUCUGAUUGAAUAGAGCAAAAUGAGUUUUUCAUUUCCUAUGUGUUCCAGUUGUGAAAAGAAAGUCCUAGAUCACUCACUUUAUUGAGAAUUGCAGUUGCUCUGACUUGAAUGGACAUUUUUCUUCUGAAUGAAGAGUUUGACAAGAGAUGAGUCAGCAUUUUCUGUGAUUAAUCGAAUGCCACUUAGCAGACGGUGGGGGACAGAAAAACAAUGUCUUGCAAUCACUGUGCUAAUCCAGACCUGAAAUCCAUUUGCAGUGCACGUGGCCCAGGCUCGAGAAUCAGCAGGUAGGGAAAUCAUCAGUGGCCCAUUAUCACUCUCACAUCAUCUGCUUCUUAAUUACACCACAAUUAGAUCAGGGAUAAUUACUUUGAUUUCUAUUAUUAUUGCUCAGAAUACCUUGGUAUCUUCGAAUCAUAAUGCUAUAAGGAAAUUUAAAGCUCAUCAAUUUUAAUAAUCAUAUUCAGAGGAAGUCGGAAGGACCAAAGAGUUUAAGUGACCUGUCCAAGAUCACACUCAUAGUUAUUAAAACUAUUUAAAUUAAUUAUACCACUGCAUAAUUAAUAAACUUAUUCAGGCACCAAUAUUUUGAGUGUAG
rnacentral:lncRNA from 1 species